rnacentral:rRNA from 1 species
UACGGAGGGGGCUAGCGUUGUUCGGAAUUACUGGGCGUAAAGCGCGCGUAGGCGGAUCUGCAAGUCGGGGGUGAAAUCCCGAGGCUCAACCUCGGAACUGCCUUCGACACUGCGGGUCUCGAGUCCGGGAGAGGUGGAGUGGAAUUCCUAGUGUAGAGGUGAAAUUCGUAGAUAUUAGGAAGAACACCAGUGGCGAAGGCGGACUCACUGGCCCGGUACUGACGCUGAGGCGCGGAAAGCGUGGGGAGCAAACAGGGAUUAAGAA